UUCGUAACAUUUUUCAAAUGCGUAAUUUUACAUUUACAUGCCUAAUUUACCUUAAUAUUUGUUUAAUACUAAUGAAUACUGAUUUAAUCUCGUUGCAAGUCAUUAGUGUAUGGAGUCUGAGAAUGUUCCUUGCAUUUCAUUAAAUGUGUGCCAUGUCGAUAAAUAUUUAAAAUAAAAGUUGUAGAUCUCAGUGGAGUCUAUAAUUUACGCCAUGUACCACAUUUUUCUGAGGUUCAUGUGAAGUAGAAAUUCUAUUGGACCAAUUCGUAUCAAAAUUAAACUUACCCGACAAAUUUUAUUGUAGAGGCCAUUACCAAAUGUAAUCGAAAUCCGUCCUGCAAUUUAAGAGAACUGAUAGACAUCUGCGCAGUAUGCAUUUCGUAUAACAGCAUGUUAAUUAACUUAUCAAAUGGCAGUAAAGUUCAGUAAUUUAUGUAAGUAGUUACAGUAUGGCGUAAAUAAAUAUAGCACGUUACAAACAGCAGCUGAAAUCCGUAACUUGUUAAUCUACUGUUUGAAGCAUAUAAUAUAUUUGUCAGAGCUUUUGUGAACACGGUAAUGAACCUUGGUGUUCUAUUAAAGGUGGGAUAUUUCUUGACUAGCCAAGCGACUAUUAGCGUAUUAGAGUAAGUUUGAUUAUGAAAUCAGCGUGUCGGAAUAAUUAAUAAUAAUAAUUAAUAACAUUAAAUCUAUCAUAGUAUUGCCGCAAAAAUCUUUCUUUGUGAGUUAUUUGCAACAUUUUUUCUUUGAAAUUUCUUUCAGCGCCAGUGAAAUUAGUGAAUAUAUGUGAUUGAUGACUCAUGAACUUGGACGCACCUGGCAACUUGCCAGUCCACCGUUGGGUCAAUGACCGUGAAAUACAUGUGUUUUGCAAGAGCUUUGUACUUAUCAGUAUGCUUUUAGUGCGUGGGAAGAACAGAUGACUCCACUGUACUCCAGCCCACUGUUACAUCUACUCCGAACAUAAACGUUUGUGCCGUGCCCAGAGAUCAAUGCUAACGGCGGAAUACAGUCUUCACUGAGUUAAUGUGGAACAUCCAUCGUUUCGUCAGAAAAUAACAUCGUUCGUUCACUGCAGUCAGUGUAACUAUAAAGCUGGGCGUGAUACAAACUGUUAUCUUGCGGAUGCAAAUGUAGAUCGUUACCACCAGUACACCAACAUGUUUGGUGUCCCUCUUUAUAGUGCAAGUUAUCUUAUCUGAGUAGCUUCUGAUUUUAAACACUUUUUGGAAGAAUUCAUGAAUGCUUCCUUCUGGUAAUUGCUCCAUAUUUGUAGAGCGUAGCGGAAAUUAUCAGUUUUAAUUUAUGGUUUCGAUAGUCCUGACAACUGCUCAUGUUCGAAGGCAUUGAUUAGGCAGAAGACUGGGUUCGAUACCCAUUCGGGCUACAGAUAUUUGUCCCCUCCAUUUUUUAGAUUUGUCUUUCGAUAUUUUAUUGAUCAGGCUGAUUGUGGAGUCUUCUGGGUUUUGCAUCGUGUCAAAGUUCGACAUUUCUGAGGAACUUCCUACCCCGUUUUUAGGAUGUUAUUCAACGACGCCAUUUUAAUCAAAUGGGUGAUAUGGUAUUGAAUGAUUUUGGAAAGUCUUGCAUGAUGUGAGAGACAAUAAACAGUUUCAGCAAGGAAUGUGAAAUUUGGUGUGGAGAUACGUCAUAAACACAGCAUGUACAGAUAUUUUUCCAAGCUACAGGGACUGCCCUCACUGGGACUUGAACUCAGGGCACUUUUCAGGAGUUCUGACCUAUCUGAAAUCUCUUGCUGGUCUCAAAGAAUGAGUUUGCCAAGUUAGGUACAGUUACGUUUAUCCAUUCUUGAGCUAUGACUAAACCUACACAUCCACACCCAUUAUUUCAGUUUUAUGUAGAAGAUGAAUUUCAAGUUCUGAAACACAGUCACUGUGGAACACUGUAAUACAUUGUAUAUUCAUUUUUUAUAGCAACAUCUGACUCCAUUCUUUGGUACAUCUAAAAGUAAAAAUAAUGUGGAAGAAUGCCAACUGACAAGAAUUAUUUGCUGAUUGUGGAUGGCUGAAGGAUAGUAGCAUUGUAUUGGCACAUAAAAAUAAAUCACAAUCUUUAAUGUAUCUCUCUGUUUUCUCAGAAAUGUUGG